rnacentral:misc_RNA from 1 species
AAAAAAAAAAAAAAAGAGCCCUAAAGCUGAAAAAAACAUCUAUUGCAACAAUUUCAGCUAAAUUUGAAUCCUCCCGAGGGAAGGCUUGGCUGCUGGUUUGUCCCAAAGCUCAUGUCUCCACUGCCAUCUACAACAUUCUGGUCCUCCUCUUCUUCAAUCCAGUACCUCUCCAAAAUCUUAACUGCCUUUACAUAAAUCUCAUGGUUGUCAUGGCUCUGCAGAUUUUCAAUUUUAUCUAACCCAUCACACUCAUCUAUCAUCUGUGCAUAGAUAUUGAUUGAGGUAUUACCCAAUUCCAUUUCAGUUUCACCAAUCUUUAGAAUACUCUCCAGACCCUCAAGGCACACUGUCACAAUUCUAGGAUCAGGACAAACCAGAAG